rnacentral:snRNA from 1 species
AUCGCUUCUCGGCCUUUUGGCUAAGAUCAAAGUGUAGUAUCUGUUCUUAUCUUUUCGUCAGGCUUGCUGCGUCGCGGAACCUCGU